rnacentral:rRNA from 1 species
AGCAGCCGCGGUAAUUCCAGCUCCAAUAGCGUAUAUUAAAGUUGUUGCAGUUAAAAAGCUCGUAGUUGAAUUUCGGGAUCAUCAGGUUGGUCGUGCCUCUGGUAUGUACUGAUUUCGAUGGUUCCUCCUUCUUGAAGAACCGUAAUGCCAUUAAUUUGGUGUUGCGGGGAAACAGGACUGUUACUUUGAAAAAAUUAGAGUGUUUAAAAGCAGGCAAUCGACUUGAAUACAUUAGCAUGGAAUAAUGAAAUAGGACGUUCGAUCCUAUUUUGUUGGUUUCUAGGAUUGACGUAAUGAUUAAUAGGGAUAGUUGGGGGCAUUAAGUAUUCAAUUGUCAGAGGUGAAAUUCUUGGAUUUAUUGAAGACUAACUACUGCGAAAGCAUUUGCCAAGGAUGUUUUCAUUAAUCAAGAACGAAAGUUUAGGGGAUCGAAGACGAUCAGAUACCGUCGUAGUCUUAACCAUAAACUAUGCCGACUAGGGAUCGGAUGAUGUUAAUUUUUAAUGACUCAUUUCGGCGU